rnacentral:rRNA from 1 species
GACGAACGCUGGCGGCGUGCUUAACACAUGCAAGUCGCACGGAAAGGCCCUGCUUUUGUGGGGGGCUCGAGUGGCGAACGGGUGAGUAACACGUGAGUAACCUGCCCUUGACUUUGGGAUAACUUCAGGAAACUGGGGCUAAUACCGGAUAGGAGCUCCUGCUGCAUGGUGGGGGUUGGAAAGUUUCGGCGGUUGGGGAUGGACUCGCGGCUUAUCAGCUUGUUUGUGGGGUAGUGGCUUACCAAGGCUUUGACGGGUAGCCGGCCUGAGAGGGUGACCGGCCACAUUGGGACUGAGAUACGGCCCAGACUCCUACGGGAGGCAGCAGUGGGGAAUAUUGCACAAUGGGCGGAAGCCUGAUGCAGCAACGCCGCGUGCGGGAUGACGGCCUUCGGGUUGUAAACCGCUUUCGCCUGUGACGAAGCGUGAGUGACGGUAAUGGGUAAAGAAGCACCGGCUAACUACGUG